CCAUGGUGAGUUACCGUGCAAUUCAAUCCUUCGAUCACACAACAUUCCAGAUAGGCCAUGGGUAUAUAAUCAUAUCAAGCCUAAAUACCUAUCCAUAUGUAUCUCGAUCUGAUGAUGAUGACUCGAUUGAUGAACCAGUAAAAAUUUUUUCUACUGUUCAUCUCUGCUUUGGCUAGAGAUUCUCAGAGUUAUCUUUCUAUGAGAUUACAUAAGAUAUUCUCUCCUCCUACAAGGAGUGAUCGAUUUCUUAUUGAUCACUUACAACCUCCAUGCACACUUCAGCAUACCC
rnacentral:lncRNA from 1 species